rnacentral:rRNA from 1 species
CCUACGGGAGGCAGCAGUGGGGGAUAUUGCACAAUGGGGGAAACCCUGAUGCAGCGACGCCGCGUGGGUGAAGAAGCGCCUAGGCGCGUAAAGCCCUGUCAGCAGGGAAGAAAAUGACGGUACCUGAAGCAGAAGCCCAGCCUAACUACGUGAACGCAGCCGCGGUAAUACGUAGGGGCCAAGCGUAAUCCGGAUUUACUGGGUGUAAAGGGGGCGCAGACGGCGAUGCAGGCCAGGAGUGAAAGCCCGGGGCCGAACCCCGGGACUGCCGUUGGAACUGCGUGGCUAGAGUGCAGGAGGGGCAGGCGGAAUUCCUGGUGUAGCGGUGAAAUGCGUAGAUAUCAGGAGGAACACCGGUGGCGAAGGCGGCCUGCUGGACUGCAACUGACGUUGAGGCCCGAAAGCGUGGGUAUCAAACAGGAUUAGAUACCCUAGUAGUC